rnacentral:rRNA from 1 species
UACGUAGGGUGCAAGCAUUAAUCGGAAUUACUGGGCGUAAAGCGUGCGCAGGCGGUUCGCUAAGACCGAUGUGAAAUCCCCGGGCUUAACCUGGGAACUGCAUUGGUGACUGGCGGGCUAGAGUAUGGCAGAGGGGGGUAGAAUUCCACGUGUAGCAGUGAAAUGCGUAGAGAUGUGGAGGAAUACCGAUGGCGAAGGCAGCCCCCUGGGCCAAUACUGACGCUCAUGCACGAAAGCGUGGGGAGCAAACAGG